rnacentral:rRNA from 1 species
UACGGAGGAUGCAAGCGUUAUCCGGAUUUAUUGGGUUUAAAGGGUGCGUAGGCGGAUAAAUAAGUCAGUGGUGAAAGCCUGCAGCUUAACUGUAGAAUUGCCAUUGAUACUGUUUAUCUUGAGUACAGCAGAGGUGGGCGGAAUAUGACAUGUAGCGGUGAAAUGCUUAGAUAUGUCAUAGAACACCGAUUGCGAAGGCAGCUCACUAAACUGUCACUGACGCUGAGGCACGAAAGCGUGGGGAGCAAACAGG